AACGACGCUGGCGGCGUGUCUUAAGCAUGCAAGUCGAGCGGCAAGCAGUAGCAAUACUGCCUAGAGCGGCGGACUGGUGAGUAACGCGUGGGUGAUCUGCCCUUGGGAUGGGGAUAGCCGUUAGAAAUAGCGGGUAAUACCGAAUACGUUCGUCGGACUACGGUCCGAUGAAGAAAGGCGCUUUGGCGCCACCCGAGGAUGAGCCUGCGUCUCAUUAGCUAGUUGGUGGGGUAAAAGCCUACCAAGGCGAUGAUGAGUAGCCGGCCUGAGAGGGUGUACGGCCACACUGGGACUGAGAUACGGCCCAGACUCCUACGGGAGGCAGCAGCUAAGAAUAUUCCGCAAUGGACGAAAGUCUGACGGAGCGACGCCGCGUGGAUGAUGAAGGCCGUGAGGUUGUAAAAUCCUUUUGCUGGGGAAGAAUAACCAUGGGAGGGAAUGCCCGUGGGAUGACAUGAACCGGCGAAUAAGCCCCGGCUAACUACGUG
rnacentral:rRNA from 1 species